AUUGAACGCUGGCGGCAGGCCUAACACAUGCAAGUCGAACGGUAACAGGAAGAAGCUUGCUUCUUUGCUGACGAGUGGCGGACGGGUGAGUAAUGUCUGGGAAACUGCCUGAUGGAGGGGGAUAACUACUGGAAACGGUAGCUAAUACCGCAUAACGUCGCAAGACCAAAAAGGGGGACCUUCGGGCCUCUUGCCAUCGGAUGUGCCCAGAUGGGAUUAGCUAGUGGGUGGGGUAACGGCUCACCUAGGCGACGAUCCCUAGCUGGUCUGAGAGGAUGACCAGCCACACUGGAACUGAGACACGGUCCAGACUCCUACGGGAGGCAGCAGUGGGGAAUAUUGCACAAUGGGCGCAAGCCUGAUGCAGCCAUGCCGCGUGUAUGAAGAAGGCCUUCGGGUUGUAAAGUACUUUCAGCGGGGAGGAAGGGAGUAAAGUUAAUACCUUUGCUCAUUGACGUUACCCGCAGAAGAAGCACCGGCUAACUCCGUG
rnacentral:rRNA from 1 species